GGUUUGAAACGGUUUGAGGAAUUUGCUCUGAAACGUGCUGGUUUGAAACGGCUCAGCAACUGUGAAUGUUGCCGCUUUUCGGAACAGCUGCGCGAGUCCGCGUAGCCUACGCACCAUAACAGCGUAGCCUACGCACCAUUGCGUAGGCAAAUCCAGCAACUCCCAAAAUGAAGGGGAAUGAAAGUUGCAGCUCCAAGGGUCAUUUUAAAGAGGUUGAAACAAGGGGUUUAGAGAGAGAAAACAUUAGUUCUUCAAUUUGGAAUUGAUUUCUAGAGAGAAGGAGGAGCUCUUCCACCAUGGAUACACUUCAAGGAAAUGGGUUGAAUCUUCAAGAACACCAAAAAGAGAAAAAGUUAGAUUCUUCCACCAAGAGUUGGGAUAUCUAAUGGUUGAUAUUUAAUUGUGGGGUGAUAUUUGGACAUUUUAAUCAAUUGGAGCAUUGUAGUAUUUUCGGAGCUUGAAGGUUGAGGUAAGUUGAUUAAUAUUUAUUCUUCUUGAGGGAAUUCUCUAAAAUCAUAUUUGAGUUAUUACGUGAGUUGGUUUGUAAAUGUGCAUCCGUACUUGUGGAAACAAGCGGGAAAGACACCAUGUGUUUCUAAAUUGUUGCUUAUGAAGUGUCAUAAGAUUUUAUAAAAGUCUUGUUUUCAAAUGUUGGCAAAAUGACACAUAAGGAAAUUCUUAUAAGUUUUAUUUAAACUUAUUUGUUGAUAAGAGUAUAAAAUGCUUGACUGCUAAAUAUAUGCUUUCAUGAAAAAGAUUAUCUUUUGAAAUUUCACCAAAAGAAGCACUUGUUGUAUCGUAAGAUUUAUGUUAAUUGCUAAAUGAUUUAACAUGAAAAAGAUUAUUCAUUUGAUUUCAUUCAAAUGGUUUGGAUUGACUAUGAAAAUCAUGAUUUGAUAAAAAUAUAUCCUUUGAGGCAAUUAUGCUAUGAAUCUAUUUUUGAAAUAUCAAAUAUUUUGGGAGUAACUAGUGGAGACCACUGAAAUUGGUUCGAAUGUCGAGUUCGUUACCAUGGAACUACACGUGCCGGUGUAGGGACACAUUCCAAGGCUAAACUGAGGUUUGUGGGAUAAAGUCUCAAUUGAGAAGGAAAAUGAUCAUUACUUAAAAGUAAUGAGGUUAAGUCCACUCGUAUGGCACUACGGGAAGUCGCCCAGAGAAGUAGGGUCAAAUACUUGUUACUAGGUUGAUCACCUAGUAGUUGUUUAUUAUGUCAGUGUCAUUAUAGUACUCCCAGUGAAAGGUAAAAGAGGACUUUCUUAUGUUUAGGCUUAAGUAGCCGAAAAUGAUUUCAAUGGUUUAAUGAGAUUGAAAUGGUUUUAUAUAAUUUCUAUUAAAAUCUUGGAUUGAUAGAGAUGUUCUAAAACUUUAUAGUAUGGCUUACAUUUCACUUGUCUUUUAUCUAAAAUGAUAAAGAGCGUGCUUUAUAUUAUUGUUUAUCACUUUAUGUCCAAUAUUGGUUGCAUAGAUUUUGUAAAUUCUUGUCCCAGGAUCUUGAUUUAGAGAGAGUCUAUGAACUUAUUGUGUACCGCUGUGGUGUACUCAGCCCUUAGGGCUCCCCUCCAGGGCCCCACUUACUUUACAUGUUUCAAGAUGAGGUACGGUACAUGGCAUACGGACAUGGCUAGGAUGACUCUCUUCCUGAGGUAUAUGGCAAGGCACCACUCAUAUUUCGUGGUAGCUAUCAUGUUAUUUCUUAAUUAAUAUUAGUCGGGCAUUAGCCCAAGUGUUUCUAUUACUUGGUAUAGAGGCUCCAUCGAUAGUUGUGAAAAGUUGUAGUAAUGGGAUUGUACGCGACA